ACGGGGGGUGCAAGCGUUGUUCGGAAUUAUUGGGCGUAAAGAGCGCGUAGGUGGUUGGGAAAGUCAGAUGUGAAAGACUUCGGCUCAACUGAAGAACUGCAUUUGAAACUGCAUAACUUGAGUACAGGAGAGGGAAGCGGAAUUCCUGGUGUAGAGGUGAAAUUCGUAGAUAUCGGGAGGAACACCAGUGGCGAAGGCGGCUUCCUGGCCUGAUACUGACGCUGAGGCGCGAAAGCGUGGGGAGCAAACAG
rnacentral:rRNA from 1 species